AUGACUCCCUUGACUAUAUAUAUGAUAAAAUUAGAAUGAUAUAGAGAAGAUUAACAUGAUCGUUGCGCAAGAAUAACGGUCACGAAUACAAAGAAUUUUUUUUU